rnacentral:lncRNA from 1 species
CUGUAAUGUGGAAUUUGUUAAAUAAACUCGGUAUCAUGAGUAUAUGCUUUUUAGUUCAAGAGCAUGAGAAGGGAAAUAACUGCUGUAAUGUGGACUUUGUUAAAUGAACUCGGUAUCAUGAGUAUCUGCUUUUUAGUCCAAGAGCAUGAGAAGGGAAAUAACUGCUGUAAUGUGGACUUUGUUAAAUAAACUCGGUAUCAUGAGUAUAUGCUUUUUAGUCCAAGAGCAUGAGAAGGGAAAUAACUGCUGUAAUGUGGAAUUUGUUAAAUGAACUCAGUAGUAUUAUGAGUAUACGCUAUUUAGUCCAUGAGCAUGAGAAGGGAAAUAACUGCUGUAAUGUGGACUUUGUUAAAUAAACUCGGUAUUAUGAGUAUACGCUAUUUAGUCCAUGAGCAUGAGAAGGGAAAUAACUGCUGUAAUGUGAAUUUGUUAAAUGAACUCAGUAUUAUGAGUAUACGCUAUUUAGUCCAAGAGCAUGAAAAGGGAAAUAACUGCUGUAAUGUGAAUUUGUUUAAUGAACUCAGUAUUAUGAGUAUACGCUAUUUAGUCCAAGAGCAUGAGAAGGGAAAUAACUGCUGUAAUGUGGACUUUGUUAAAUAAACUCGGUAUUAUGAGUAUACGCUAUUUAGUCCAUGAGCAUGAGAAGGGAAAUAACUGCUGUAAUGUGAAUUUGUUAAAUGAACUCAGUAUUAUGAGUAUAUGCUAUUUAGUCCAAGAGCAUGAAAAGGGAAAUAACUGCUGUAAUGUGAAUUUGUUUAAUGAACUCAGUAUUAUGAGUAUACGCUAUUUAGUCCAAGAGCAUGAGAAGGGAAAUAACUGCUGUAAUGUGGACUUUGUUAAAUAAACUCGGUAUUAUGAGUAUAUGCUAUUUAGUCCAUGAGCAUGAGAAGGGAAAUAACUGCUGUAAUGUGAAUUUGUUUAAUGAACUCAGUAUUAUGAGUAUACGCUAUUUAGUCCAAGAGCAUGAGAAGGGAAAUAACUGCUGUAAUGUGGACUUUGUUAAAUAAACUCGGUAUUAUGAGUAUACGCUAUUUAGUCCAAGAGCAUGAAAAGGGAAAUAACUGCUGUAAUGUGAAUUUGUUUAAUGAACUCAGUAUUAUGAGUAUACGCUUUUUAGUCCAUUAGUAUGAGAAGAGAAAUAACUGCUGUAAUGUGAAUUUGUUAAAUGAACUCAGUAUCAUGAGUGUAUGCUUUUUAGUCCAAGAGCAUGAGAAGGGAAAUAACUGCUGUAAUGUGGACUUUGUUAAAUGAACUCAGUAUUAUGAGUAUACGCUAUUUAGUCCAAGAGCAUGAGAAGGGAAAUAAUUGCUGUAAUGUGGAAUUUGUUAAAUGAACUCAGUAUUAUGAGUAUACGCUAUUUAGUCCAAGAGCAUGAGAAGGCAAAUAACUGCUGUAAUGUGGAAUUUGUUAAAUAAACUCGGUAUCAUGAGUAUAUGCUUUUUAGUUCAAGAGCAUGAGAAGGGAAAUAACUGCUGUAAUGUGGACUUUGUUAAAUGAACUCGGUAUCAUGAGUAUCUGCUUUUUAGUCCAAGAGCAUGAGAAGGGAAAUAACUGCUGUAAUGUGGACUUUGUUAAAUAAACUCGGUAUCAUGAGUAUAUGCUUUUUAGUCCAAGAGCAUGAGAAGGGAAAUAACUGCUGUAAUGUGGAAUUUGUUAAAUGAACUCAGUAGUAUUAUGAGUAUACGCUAUUUAGUCCAUGAGCAUGAGAAGGGAAAUAACUGCUGUAAUGUGGACUUUGUUAAAUAAACUCGGUAUUAUGAGUAUACGCUAUUUAGUCCAUGAGCAUGAGAAGGGAAAUAACUGCUGUAAUGUGAAUUUGUUAAAUGAACUCAGUAUUAUGAGUAUACGCUAUUUAGUCCAAGAGCAUGAAAAGGGAAAUAACUGCUGUAAUGUGAAUUUGUUUAAUGAACUCAGUAUUAUGAGUAUACGCUAUUUAGUCCAAGAGCAUGAGAAGGGAAAUAACUGCUGUAAUGUGGACUUUGUUAAAUAAACUCGGUAUUAUGAGUAUACGCUAUUUAGUCCAUGAGCAUGAGAAGGGAAAUAACUGCUGUAAUGUGAAUUUGUUAAAUGAACUCUGUAUUAUGAGUAUACGCUAUUUAGUCCAAGAGCAUGAAAAGGGAAAUAACUGCUGUAAUGUGAAUUUGUUUAAUGAACUCAGUAUUAUGAGUAUACGCUAUUUAGUCCAAGAGCAUGAGAAGGGAAAUAACUGCUGUAAUGUGGACUUUGUUAAAUAAACUCGGUAUUAUGAGUAUAUGCUAUUUAGUCCAUGAGCAUGAGAAGGGAAAUAACUGCUGUAAUGUGAAUUUGUUAAAUGAACUCAGUAUUAUGAGUAUACGCUAUUUAGUCCAAGAGCAUGAAAAGGGAAAUAACUGCUGUAAUGUGAAUUUGUUUAAUGAACUCAGUAUUAUGAGUAUACGCUUUUUAGUCCAUUAGUAUGAGAAGAGAAAUAACUGCUGUAAUGUGAAUUUGUUAAAUAAACUCAGUAUCAUGAGUGUAUGCUUUUUAGUCCAAGAGCAUGAGAAGGGAAAUAAUUGCUGUAAUGUGGAAUUUGUUAAAUGAACUCAGUAUCAUGAGUAUACGCUAUUUAGUCCAAGAGCAUGAGAAGGGAAAUAACUGCUGUAAUGUGGAAUUUGUUAAAUAAACUCGGUAUCAUGAGUAUAUGCUUUUUAGUCCAAGAGCAUGAGAAGGGAAAUAACUGCUGUAAUGUGGACUUUGUUAAAUGAACUCAGUAUUAUGAGUAUACGCUAUUUAGUCCAAGAGCAUGAGAAGGGAAAUAAUUGCUGUAAUGUGGAAUUUGUUAAAUGAACUCAGUAUCAUGAGUAUACGCUAUUUAGUCUCCAAGAGCAUGAGAAGGGAAAUAACUGCUGUAAUGUGGACUUUGUUAAAUGAACUCAGUAUCACAAGUAUACGCUUUUUAGUCCAAGAGCAUGAGAAGGGAAAUAACUGCUGUAAUGUGGAAUUUGUUAAAUGAACUCAGUAUCAUGAGUAUACACUUUUUAGUCAAAGAGCAUGAGAAGGGAAAUAACUGCUGGAGUAGAAUGUGACCUGUUCUAAAUAUCGGACAAUUGUUCGAUUACCACUGUUAUUACCACUGUUUCCACCAGGUAACGAUUAUUCCAUAGAAAAAAUCUCUAAGUCAUGUAUUUUCUGUCCAGUAAGGUAAAUUACAAGCAAAACUACCUUUACAGAGCAUGAGCUUCUCUAAAUCUUUUUAUCAUGUUAGCCAUAUAAGUAAAGUUUGCUUGUGAGACACUGUAUACCUGUUGUUAAAUUUGCUAGAAAAUUACUUUGUUUGGCAAUUUUGAUAUUGGUGUUUUAGGUUUAGAUUUCUGUAGAAUUAAGCAAACAGACAAACCUGAUAUAAAGGCAUUGCUUCCAAAAGUCAAAGAAUGGCCUUUGUGUUUGGGUGGCCUUUAUUCACAGGUUAAAAUAAAGUAUAAAUAUUGAAUUUUGAAACAAAAUUAACAGAACUCUUUAUAGUCAGUUGAGCUCGGCUCACGGGGAAUCAUUGGCAAAGGUUUGACUGUACAUAAUUAUUUCAUUUAAGAUAAGCUGUUCAUAUUUUUUAAUCAAUUCAUCACAUAUUUCAACCAUAUGUGUUUCCCAUCUUAUCAGAGAGAAACAAUAUCCAUGCAAUCUGUUAAAGACCUUUUAAGUUUCACGUAAAAUCUGCAAACAAAAUUGGAAGUUUUCCUGUUUAAACGCCUGUAAUAGUCUUUGACGUGUUUUUAUUAAGGACUGAGGUAUUUGUUAAAAUGAUAAUGGUGUGGUAGUUGUUGAACUACUUUUAAUAUAAUGACCAUGUUUGUAUCAGUACAUAUAUAAUACAUGGAUAUCACUAGUCUGUCAAAGAGGUAUUGUAGGAGAGAAAGCUUUUAUUUAUUUUAGGGAUAAACAUCGAAACCACAGUCCUUCAAAAGAUAAUAGGUACGUGUAGAUUUCUCAGAAGCACAAAGCAUCACAAGCACAACCGCAGUCCUUCAAGUUUCACUGAAACUUUUUUAUUAUUAUAAUGAAAGGCUACUUUAGGAUAUAGAGCAUCUGAACCUCAUUACUUCAAUUUUCUCUGAUAUUGUUUCUUUCAUAUAUUUUUAAUCAUUUUAGUAAAGUUACAAUAGUACUAAAUAGGUAAUCCAGUCGCACUUCUAGGCACUUUCAGAUAGUGGUGGAUAAAAAAGUCCUCAUUUUUUCCGAUUAAAGUGGCAAUUUCAUGGUUUAUUUAAGCCAGUUCCUGUUUUUAUUUCAUUGUGGAUCUGUUAUGGACAGGAUAUUUUUUGUAUUUAUAGAAAUGUAAAAAACCUUAUUACUCAUGUGUUCAUUCCCACAAAAGCUGUCAGUUUGAAAGAUAUUCCAUAGUGUUAACCUGUCAUUCAAAACAAAAUUCAGAAGAUACAUGACUCUUACAUUCUGUAGUUUUUUUGUUGUUGUUGUUCAUAGGUCAUUUAAGAACAUUUGGUAUAGUAAUCCUUUUUUAAAGUGGCCCUGACUAUAUGUUACAGCUGUCAGAAAAUUGUUAAUUUCAUAAAUAACUUAUAGCAAAUUUAUAUACUACUGUACAGUCUAAAUGGAAUUCCCGUCAUUUGAUAACAUUUUCAUUUUUGGCGUUUCUGAUUGUAUAAUUGGAAGGGUACUAAUCAAAGGAGGAGGAACACUUGUUACUUUGAAAAAAAUCAAACAUAGUGAAUAAAAUCUAAUAAUUGUUUAAAUAGAAUAUAAGACUACAUACAUCUUUAAAUUAGUUUAAUGUUUUAUGAACUGAUAUUUCAUGAGUCAGGAACCUUAAUGUUGCCUAUACAUCUUUAGUUUAAAGGUAUACUUGACCUAAAUUUUGUAUUUGAAAAUAUGAAUAGUUUCUAGAUAUAGUUUUAGUAAACAUCAAAUUAACAAGUUUAUAUAUAUUUUGUUUGUACCAUGGUUAAAUUAAGUACACACUGUAUACAUGUAUAGCUGGACAUGGUUCCACUUAAAAACUGGAAGUUCUUUUAAAAAAAUGACUGUUACUGAAUGACAUUUUUCAUGUAACUUUUCACUCACAAUAAGUUGAUAUAUUUAGUAAAGUUUUCAUAUAUCUAAAUGGGAUUUUUUACAUUUGAAGAAAAGAUCGUAAUUUUAAUAUUUUAGUGAAAGAUACGCCUGGAUAUGUAUAGCUGGACAUGGUAUAGAUGUGCAUAGAGAAGUUUUCAUUGGAUAUCUUUAAUGUCUUAUGAACCGGGUUUUCAUGAGCCAGUAAAAAUGAUUUUGCCUGUACAACAUUUUAGUUUAAUUUUUCACGAAUUGUGUUUUCAUGAGCCAGGAAACAUGACUUUGCCUCUACAUCUUUAGUUUAAUGUUUCUUGAACCAUGUUUUCAUAAGAAAGGAACCAUGACUUUACCUGUAAAUCUUAGGUAUGAUAUGCCAUGUAUUUUUAUGGUUCACUAUACAUCUUCAGUUUAAUGUUUCAUGAACCAUGUUUUCAGGAACCGUGAACCAUGUUUUCAGGAACCAUGAACCAUGUUUUAGCCUGUUGAAAUUUUGUGAUUAUCAUAUGCUUAUAUUUAUCUUAUUAUCUUUGUUUAUGAUAUGUUCAAUGUAUUAGCUUACCAAAAUAUGUGCAAAACAUAUUUUACUUAAUAUAAAUUUUAAUGUAUUGUAUUGAGAAUGUGUUGAAUUAAAAAGUAACAAUGGAA